AAGCUAGCAGUUAAUCUGCUUAUCUGAAUAUGUUUCUUCAAAAAUCUAGAAAGAGCUGGCAAUAAUGUUGUCAAGUAAUGAGCCUUAAGGACAAGUGACUGUCUUUAAGAUCCCUAAAAAUGGCUACAAUA
rnacentral:snoRNA from 1 species